UUUUUAUGAACCAAUGGUGGAUUAUUGAUAAAAAUACAAGGCUUUGGUGGAAGCUCUUACCUUCGAUUGAGUUUUAAGUUCAUAUCGAUUGAGAGGAAAAAAGGCUUUGGUGGAAGCUGUUACAGUUAUAACUAAGAUGGAUCCUGAACUGAGUGAUUUAGAAGUCCUAGCAGAAGCAGCGGUUGAUGGCC